rnacentral:misc_RNA from 1 species
CAAUACUGCUUGAAAACAGUAUUAUUUAGCUGUGAUCUUCUGUAAGGUCGAGGUACUACCCCAGUCGGGCUGCUCCAUAUUUUGAGCAGGGAAUUCCUGCUGUGCCCUACCUCAGUUAAAAUUUCUAAUGUUUACGCGAAUUUCACUCAUUAUAAUAAAAUUAAUAUUGUAAUGUAUCAUAAACGUAACAACUGGCAAACC